GGGGGCGUAAAGGCUUCGACGGGGAUUUUGAGGCACGAUAAGCGAGUAGAGGCUGUGGGUACCUCUUAAAAAAACCUGCAUCUAAAGAUAAACGCUAAUAACAAUAGCAAUUUUGACGGCUUAGCUGUCGCCGCUUAGUUUAAGCGGUUUGUUCUGUGAAAACCUACCGCUGCUUUCACAGGGCAUAAUUUAAGGCGGUGAACAUCUCGCGGGUUUUGCCCUGUACCUCAGAGAUGGAUUAAGGGCUACCACAGAUUGCAGCCUGUUUAUCGGCGGCUGUCUGCGGGAACUUAAAUGAUAAACUGCACUCGGAGAAAAUCGUGAUUAUUAAUUUUCGGACGCGGGUUCAAUUCCCGCCGCCUCCACCA
rnacentral:tmRNA from 1 species